rnacentral:misc_RNA from 2 species
CAGAGUUAUACAACUCCCAUACCAUUUGUAAACUUUACUCAGUUAUGCCUCGGCGUGAACUGCGUACGGAGGCAGAGUGGUGUUACCCGGUAGCUUACCCUGUAGGUUACCCUGUAGCGCUACCCUGUAUCAACUCCCGCGCAGCCCGCCGGUGGUACACUAAACUCUUGUUUUAUUUUAUAUUCUGAGCGUAUUAUUUUAAUAAUUA